GGAGAGUUGUCCGAGCGGUUGAAGGUGCGACACUCGAAAUGUCGUGUACCCGAGAGGGUACCCAGGGUUCGAAUCCCUGACUCUCCG
rnacentral:tRNA from 3 species